rnacentral:rRNA from 1 species
AGAGUUUGAUCCUGGCUCAGGAUGAACGCUGGCGGCGUGCUUAACACAUGCAAGUCGCACGAACCUUCGGGUUAGUGGCGGACGGGUGAGUAACGCGUGAGAAUCUGCCCUCAGGAGGGGGAUAACGGCUGGAAACGGCCGCUAAUACCCCAUAUGCCGAGAGGUGAAAUGAAUUUCGCCUGAGGAUGAGCUCGCGUCUGAUUAGCUAGUUGGUGUGGUAAAGGCUCACCAAGGCAUCGAUCAGUAGCUGGUCCGAGAGGAUGAUCAGCCACACUGGGACUGAGACACGGCCCAGACUCCUACGGGAGGCAGCAGUGGGGAAUUUUCCGCAAUGGGCGCAAGCCUGACGGAGCAACGCCGCGUGAGGGAUGAAGGCCUCUGGGCUGUAAACCUCUUUUAUCAAGGAAGAAGAUCUGACGGUACUUGAUGAAUAAGCCACGGCUAAUUCCGUGCCAGCAGCCGCGGUAAUACGGGAGUGGCAAGCGUUAUCCGGAAUUAUUGGGCGUAAAGCGUCCGCAGGCGGUCUUGAAAGUCUGUUGUUAAAGCGUGGAGCUCAACUCCAUUUCAGCAAUGGAAACUAGAAGACUAGAGUGUGGUAGGGGCAGAGGGAAUUCCCGGUGUAGCGGUGAAAUGCGUAGAUAUCGGGAAGAACACCAGUGGCGAAGGCGCUCUGCUGGGCCAUAACUGACGCUCAUGGACGAAAGCCAGGGGAGCGAAAGGGAUUAGAUACCCCUGUAGUCCUGGCCGUAAACGAUGAACACUAGGUGUCGGGGGAAUCGACCCCCUCGGUGUCGUAGCCAACGCGUUAAGUGUUCCGCCUGGGGAGUACGCACGCAAGUGUGAAACUCAAAGGAAUUGACGGGGGCCCGCACAAGCGGUGGAGUAUGUGGUUUAAUUCGAUGCAACGCGAAGAACCUUACCAGGGUUUGACAUCCUGCGAAUCCCUUGGAAACUUGGGAGUGCCUUCGGGAGCGCAGUGACAGGUGGUGCAUGGCUGUCGUCAGCUCGUGUCGUGAGAUGUUGGGUUAAGUCCCGCAACGAGCGCAACCCACGUCUUUAGUUGCCAGCAUUAAGUUGGGCACUCUAGAGAGACUGCCGGUGAUAAACCGGAGGAAGGUGUGGAUGACGUCAAGUCAUCAUGCCCCUUACAUCCUGGGCUACACACGUACUACAAUGCUACGGACAAAGGGCAGCAAACUCGCGAGAGCUAGCAAAUCCCAUAAACCGUGGCUCAGUUCAGAUCGUAGGCUGCAACUCGCCUACGUGAAGGAGGAAUCGCUAGUAAUCGCAGGUCAGCAUACUGCGGUGAAUACGUUCCCGGGCCUUGUACACACCGCCCGUCACACCAUGGAAGUUGGCCACGCCCGAAGUCGUUACUCCAACCCGCAAGGGAGGAGGAUGCCGAAGGUGGGGCUGAUGACUGGGGUGAAGUCGAAACAAGGUA